rnacentral:piRNA from 1 species
UGCCCAAGAGAGUUUUGUCUCCCAGCAGA